GGUCAAAAACCUCUUCUUCCUUUCACCAUUUUUCUAUCUAUGCAUGUGAUAAGCAAGUGAUAGAGACAAAUCUGAAAUCCUUUUAGCUAUUGAAUCUGAACAUUUUGAGAUUUUUCUUUCAUUAAAUUUUCUGUUCAUGUUGUUUUCUCCUUUUACUUAUCUGAUCUGAACUUGACCUUUUUUUUUUUGUGAUUGCAGGUGGGAAAAGUUUGUAGAUUUCAUGUUUUUAUUUUGGUUUUCGGUAUUUGAAUCCUUAACAAGAAAAUAUUUGGUGCCUUCUUAGUUUUUGGGGUUUCUUUGACAAACAGCCAAUAGCACUGUUAUUACAGGGAUGGAUGGUAAUUUUUUUGGAAAAGGGUGUAACUUUCUGGCUGGAGUAUUACAGCAAAUGAAAGCUAUAAAUAGACUAAUUUAUGUUAUUUCCAAUUGGGCUAUGAUGAUAUAAUUUUGGUUUCUUUAGAUGUAUUUCAGGUUUUAAAUUGAUUGCCAUAUCUUGGUGAGGCAACCCUGAUGUCAUUUGGCUUUCAUUCUCCCCUUGAAAUGCAAUUGGGUCUGCAGCCAUGGCGGUACUCUCAUCUCUGCCUGACUUUUGCCAAUAGACCUGAGCCUUACUUUAAAUUAUCAUAAUAACUGCUUAAUUUAAUUAAAGAUUUGAUCACUGAUUCCUUUUUUUUCCAUUUGUAUAAUAAUCUUCGGAUCAUGUCAAUUUCUAAUGUUUUUAUUGGUUGUUUUCACCUUUGAAAAAAUCUCUAGAGAGCUAUGCCAGAAAUUCUCAGGUGUGCUACCUUGGUUUGCAAUUAUAGCUCGUUCAUUAUAUGAUGUUUUACUUAUGACAAAAUUUUAGCUUUUUCCUUUUGCUUUAUACUAUUUUCAUCAUGCUAGAGAAAUUGUUUGAUGCUUUGGUACAAUUUAUAUAGUGACCCAAAUGGGCUUUUGUCAAUGUGCUUUAAAUUUUUUAGAAAUUUUAUGCUCAAGUGCAGAAACUAUAUGAAGUUAGAAUGAAAUAUCUAACUAAAUAUCUUAAGUAUUUGAGAGGUCUUGCAAGCCUGUACGUCUUAAUAGAGAAGUAAAUAUGAUAUUUGAUGGUUGCUUUUUAUAAAAAAUAGUGAAUACUUUUUUACUUAAGUAUACAAAGACUGGUUAGUUUGGAAAAUCUAUUCGGGGCCUUUCUUUUUUCCUACUUCACAACCCAAAAACAUGAAAGAAAAACACCCUGUGUUGCUCACAUAGUGUUAUUUGGGUAGAAAUUCUUUCUCCUCAUUUUUUUUCUCUUUACGGCAAUAGGAAGAUAACAUGUUCAUAAUGAUGGCUUUUGGUAAUGUUAAAUUGCAUGUUUUAUAGUUGUUUAGUCAUGACAAGGGAUUAACUGAGACCUUUUUAGGUAUCUGCAUUUGGUUUCUUCCUUUUUUUGGUCAGUUGGGUUCUGAAGAAUUAGAUAAAUGAAGCAUUUUGCUUUUUAUUUUUUGUAAACUUUAUUUAUUGGAGAAAUAGGGAUGGGCAUUGCUGGAGUUAUGCUACUUUCAAAGGACUGCAUUCGAUGGUCUAUUGUGAGGAUAGAGCCUUGUAAAUCUUGAGCAAUAAUAUCCGGCACUGCUAUUAACGAGAUUUGAGCAUCUACCAGUAAUGGAAGAAGCAAAAUUGACCUGCAAGCACAUAAAAUACAAGGAAUACGUACAACCGCGGAUGUAGAUGAAAUAUUAGAAUGAACUGGUUUAGACUGAUUGGAUCAAAAGCACACCCUCUCUAAUCACCCUCCAAAGGUUUAUGAAUGGCUUUAAAUUGUGAACCGCUGACUAGGAAAUGAAUCGCAUUGCUACACAGUUAUAGUUCUCUUUUUUUCUUUUUAGUUAGUAGUUCAAAAUCUCUUAUAUUUCUGCAUCCAUACAGGAAAUAGUUUUUGUUUCAUUCAUUUAAACCUAUUUUUACUCGA